rnacentral:rRNA from 1 species
UACGAAGGGGGCUAGCGUUGCUCGGAAUCACUGGGCGUAAAGGGUGCGUAGGCGGGUCUUUAAGUCAGGGGUGAAAUCCUGGAGCUCAACUCCAGAACUGCCUUUGAUACUGAGGAUCUUGAGUUCGGGAGAGGUGAGUGGAACUGCGAGUGUAGAGGUGAAAUUCGUAGAUAUUCGCAAGAACACCCGUGGCGAAGGCGGCCGACUGGGCCGGAUCCGACGCUGAGGCGCGAAAGCGUGGGGAGCAAACAGG